UACGGGAGGCAGCAGUGGGGAAUAUUGCACAAUGGGCGAAAGCCUGAUGCAGCUAUGCCGCGUGUAUGAAGAAGGCCUUAGGGUUGUAAAGUACUUUCAUCGGGGAGGAAAAACAAAACUAAUAAUUUUAUUUCUUGACGUUACCCGAAAAAGAAGCACCGGCUAACUCCGUGCCAGCAGCCGCGGUAAUACGGAGGGUGCUAGCGUUAAUCAGAAUUACUGGGCGUAAAGAGCACGUAGGUGGUUUUUUUAAGUCAGAUGUGAAAUCCCCUGGACUUAACCUAGGAACUGCAUUUUGAAACUGAAAUACUAGAGUAUCGUAGAGGGAGGUAGAAUUCUAGGUGUAGCGGUGAAAUGCGUAGAUAUCUGGAGGAAUACCUGUGGCGAAAGCGGCCUCCUAAACGAAUACUGACACUGAGGUGCGAAAGCGUGGGGAGCAAACAGGGAUUAGAUACC
rnacentral:rRNA from 1 species